rnacentral:rRNA from 1 species
UAAGGAAUAUUGGGCAAUGGAGGCAACUCUGACCCAGCCAUGCCGCGUGCAGGAAGACGGCCCUACGGGUUGUAAACUGCUUUUAAUAGGGAGUAAUGUUAGUUACGAGUAACUAAUUGCAAGUACCUAUAGAAUAAGGAUCGGCUAACUACGUGCCAGCAGCCGCGGUACUACGGAGGAUCCAAGCGUUAUCCGGAUUUAUUGGGUUUAAAGGGUGCGCAGGCGGACUAAUAAGUCAGUGGUGAAAUCUACAUGCUUAACAUGUAAUGUGCCAUUGAUACUGUGAGACUAGUAUGCAAAUGAGGUAGCUGGAAUGGGUUAUGUAGCGGUGAAAUGCUUAGAUAUAACACAGAACACCGAUCGUGAAGACAGGUUACGAAUUUGUUAUAGACGCUCAUGCACGAAAGCGUGGGGAUCAAACA